rnacentral:rRNA from 1 species
UACGUAGGGGCCUAGCGUUGUCCGGAUUUAUUGGGCGUAAAGAGCUCGUAGGCGGUUUGGUGAGUCGGGUGUGAAAUCUCCACGCUCAACGUGGAGGGGCCACCCGAUACUGCCAUGACUAGAGUCCGGUAGGGGAGUGUGGAAUUCCCGGUGUAGCGGUGAAAUGCGCAGAUAUCAGGAGGAACACCAAUGGCGAAGGCAGCUCGCUGGAACGGUACUGACGCUGAGGCGCGAAAGCGUGGGGAGCGAACAGG